rnacentral:lncRNA from 1 species
GUGUUAGGGGUCUCGAGAGGUAAUCUAAAAGGCGCAAAGAAAAUUGGUGGUGGGAAGGAGAGGACCAAGAAAAGUAAAACCAAAAAGGUUGCUUAUACGACAUCAAUAGAAAGCUUAGACGAGGAGGAGGAAGAGGAGGAAUAUGCACACCAAGGUGAGAAAGAAAAUUCAUGAUGUGAACCAAGUGAAAUGCAUCAAAGACGAAAACGGCAUAGUGUUGGUGGAAGAGGACACAAUAGACAGAGAUAACUUAUAUUUAUUUUGAAUCUUCUGGUCUUAAAAUAAAGAUACGUGGAAUAUGCUAAAAUGUUCUUUAAUCUUGUGGUCAUAAACAUAUCACACGUCGAAAGCUCAAAGUUAAAAGACAUGCUUUGAGCAGACAAC